GCACGAUGUUGCGAGGGCAAGUGUAGGACGAGCAGCAUUGAAGAAGGCAACAGGAUGUCGACAUUGAAGGGGCCAGCAACGGACGCGUGAUGGUGUUACCUUCUCGUACCUCGCCCUCCCCACCACCUUUCUCAUGGCGGUCCCACCAGCAAUGGCCUCACCAUGACCUCAUCCUGGCAGGCAGACGCCAGCUCCCUUCCCCUUCACCAAAAGCUCCAAAACAUUUUAAUAAUUGUUUGCAAUCGUCAUGCGCCAGCCAUGAACGGCAGCUAUCAGCAGCAGAUCGCCGGCUUAUUUUUCACCCAAAAGAAGGCAAGUCUCACUUAGAUUCUCUGCCCUUUCUUCUUAUAACUACAAUGAAGUGGUAAGCUUUCUUAGUGUAGAUGCAUGCGGGCAUGAGGGCGGUCCCUAUACAUCUCCUUUAUGUAGAAUGGUAGGGUAAUUGGUGAAGACGGCAAUCAAGGAAUGGCUACUCCUGUUAGAAUGUGGACGUUCCGGAGCCAUUUGCUCAGCCCUUCCUGCUAAAAGUCGUCAGUAAAACUGAGGUCUGGAGAGAGCGAUGGGGUGCUUGGAGGAAGGAGGACGGAUGUUCGUGGUGGUGAUGAUGAGGAAAUUGAUGUGCUGGUUCAAGGAAGUCGUGGAGAUCGUCUGCGAUCUGGUUUCGCUCGCUCUGGUGGUAUUCCGAUGUACCCAUCUGGUUUUCGGGCGGACUUCGACACCGGUCUCGAGCCAACGUUAUCCCACCGUCCCUCCUAUGCUUCUCAGCCAAGGCCGUUGACAUGCGGGCAAUCAUUCUACGCCUGCUUGGAAGCUCGAAUUGUUAACCAGUGGAGCAACUCCUGCCGCCAACGUAGAUUUGCAGUGCUGAUGGACAAAUUGAGAAAGAUAUCUUUGUAUAGCUCGACUAAAUUGGUCUUUGCUUUGUAGAUCUUUGCUAACUUUGCAAUAUGAAGAUCCAUCUGCUUUCUCUUUCUUAA